rnacentral:misc_RNA from 1 species
ACUGAGACAGACUUUGUAGUCUUUGGUUCGUGCUUUUUGUCUCCACCAUAAAAUGAGAAACACUUCAUACCGCUUCCCCCACAAAUUCACAUUCACCAAUUUCUUCACUGUUGACCCAGAGAUAAAAAGAACCUUAAAUCUUGGCAGUCAGAUUUGCAGCAGCUUAAUUCCUGAACUUCACAAAAUCCACAAGUCCAAGAAGUUGGAUUUGCAGCAAGUUUUCCAAAACUUCACAAAAUUAAUACAACUCAGGAAUUUCUAAGACAAAACUUCCCUUUGGCCCAUACGCCACAAAAGACCU